rnacentral:sRNA from 1 species
CUACCACAUACUUGACAUUUUAAAAAUAUGCCAUACUUACUCAUUGAGAGCUAAUACAACCUAUGAAGUGGAGCUUGAUGAAGGAAGUUUGAAGCACAUAGAUCUAUCAUCAUUUAUACAAACAGUUAGCGAAGUUUUCGCUCUAUAAAAUUUGAGGAUGUUUGUCAUUACUUUAACUUUACUUCUUAUUGUUCAGCUAAACGCGAAAUUUAGCAGAGAGUGUACACAUCAGAGCAGCUCAUUGAAGCCUUAUGGGGGCAGGUGCAUCGAUAGCAGUGAAUGUAUCAACAACUAUUGCUAUAGGAACUGGUGCAUGUGCCCUAAUGAUCAAUUCUAUGACAGUCAAAUGAAUGUAUGUUUACCAAAUUGUAAUACCAAUAUUACACGAAGUAGCGGCAAAAUCUCUACAUCUGUAUUGCUGGAGGGCAGGAACCGAAAUAAAGAUUGCAAAUGGAUUAUAAUGGGUUCAACGAACUCUUAUGUAGU